UACAGAGGUCCCGAGCGUUGUUCGGAUUCAUUGGGCGUAAAGGGUGCGUAGGCGGCGGGGAAAGUCUGAUGUGAAAUCCUGGGGCUCAACCCUGGAACUGCAUUGGAUACUUCCUUGCUAGAGUACUGGAGAGGAAACUGGAAUUUACGGUGUAGCAGUGAAAUGCGUAGAGAUCGUAAGGAAGACCAGUGGCGAAGGCGGAUCUCUGGGCCGUAACUGACGCUGAGGAGCGAAAGCAUGGGGAGCGAACAGG
rnacentral:rRNA from 1 species